rnacentral:tRNA from 2 species
GCGGUCGUAGCUCAACGGUAGAGCGCCGGGUUGUGGCCCCGAAGGUAGCGGUUCAACUCCGCUCGAUCGCCCCG